UUUGAUCCUGGCUCAGGAUGAACGCUGGCGGCGUGCCUAAUACAUGCAAGUCGAGCGAACAGAUAAGGAGCUUGCUCCUUUGACGUUAGCGGCGGACGGGUGAGUAACACGUGGAUAACCUACCUAUAAGACUGGGAUAACUUCGGGAAACCGGAGCUAAUACCGGAUAACAUACUGAACCGCAUGGUUCAAUAGUGAAAGGCGGCUUUGCUGUCACUUAUAGAUGGAUCCGCGCCGUAUUGGCUAGUUGGUAAGGUAACGGCUUACCAAGGCAACGAUACGUAGCCGACCUGAGAGGGUGAUCGGCCACACUGGAACUGAGACACGGUCCAGACUCCUACGGGAGGCAGCAGUAGGGAAUCUUCCGCAAUGGGCGAAAGCCUGACGGAGCAACGCCGCGUGAGUGAUGAAGGUCUUCGGAUCGUAAAACUCUGCUAUCAGGGAAGAACAAAUGUGUAAGUAACUGUGCACAUCUUGACGGUACCUGAUCAGAAAGCCACGGCUAACUACGUGCCAGCAGCCGCGGUAAUACGUAGGUGGCAAGCGUUAUCCGGAAUUAUUGGGCGUAAAGCGCGCGUAGGCGGUUUUUUAAGUCUGAUGUGAAAGCCCACGGCUCAACCGUGGAGGGUCAUUGGAAACUGGAAAACUUGAGUGCAGAAG
rnacentral:rRNA from 1 species